CCCUACGGGGGGCAGCAGUAGGGAAUCUCCCACAAUGGGCGAAAGCCUGAUGGAGCAACGCUGCGUGGGUGAAGAAGGUCUUCGGAUCGUAAAACCCUGUUGUUAGAGAAGAAAGUGCGUGAGAGUAACUGUUCACGUUUCGACGGUAUCUAACCAGAAAGCCACGGCUAACUACGUGCCAGCAGCCGCGGUAAUACGUAGGUGGCAAGCGUUAUCCGGAUUUAUUGGGCGCAAAGAGAACGCAGGCGGUCUUUUAAGUCUGAUGUGAAAGCCUUCGGCUUAACCGGAGUAGUGCAUUGGAAACU
rnacentral:rRNA from 1 species